UACGUAGGUGGCAAGCGUUACUCGGAAUCACUAGGCGUAAAGCGCAAGCAGGCGGUUCAAUAAGUCUCUUGUGAAAGCUCCCGGCUUAACUGGGAGAGGUCAAGGGAAACUGUUGGGCUAGAGUGUGGCAGAGGAAGUUGGAAUUCCCGGUGUAGCGGUGAAAUGCGUAGAUAUCGGGAGGAAUACCUAUGGCGAAAGCAGACUUCUGGGCCGUCACUGACGCUGAGUUGCGAAAGCUAGGGGAGCAAACAGG
rnacentral:rRNA from 1 species